rnacentral:rRNA from 1 species
AACGAACGCUGGCGGCGUGCCUAACACAUGCAAGUCGAACGGAUUGAAGGGGCUUGCUCCUUCAGUUAGUGGCGCACGGGUGAGUAACGCGUAGAUAAUCUGCCUGAUGAUCUGGGAUAACAGUUCGAAAGGACUGCUAAUACCGGAUAAGCCCACGUGGUCUUUGGACCGUGCGGGAAAAGGGGGGGACCUUCGGGCCUUCUGUCAUCAGAUGAGUCUGCGUACCAUUAGCUAGUUGGUAGGGUAAUGGCCUACCAAGGCUACGAGGGUUAGCUGGGUUGAGAGAAUGAGCAGCCACACUGGAACUGAGACACGGUCCAGACUCGGACGGGAGGCAGCAGUGGGGAAUUUUGCGCAAUGGGCGAAAGCCUGACGCAGCAACGCCGCGUGAGUGAUGAAGGCUUUCGGGUCGUAAAGCUCUGUCGGGAGGGACGAAUAAGGCGCCGGCUAACAUCCGGCGCUGAUGACGGUACCUCCAAAGGAAGCACCGGCUAACUCUGUGCCAGCCGCCGCCGUAAUAC